rnacentral:rRNA from 1 species
GACGGGGGAUGCAAGCGUUAUCCGGAAUCACUGGGCGUAAAGCGUCUGUCGGUGGUGAUGCAAGUCACUGGUGCAAAACUCUGGCUCAACCGGAGGAAAGCCAGUGAAACUGCAUGACUAGAGUGUGGGAGAGGUAGAAGGAAUUCCCUGAGUAGCGGUGAAAUGCGUAGAUACAGGGAAGAACACCGGAGGCGAAAGCGUUCUACUGGAACACAACUGACACUGAGAGACGAAAGCUAGUGGAGCGAAGGGG